rnacentral:lncRNA from 1 species
AUGAGCGAACCGUGGCCCAAAACAAAAUAGCUCAUCCUUUCAUGAUUCCUGAAGACCCUUAAAAUAAGAACAGUCCAUUUUGAAUUUUUGCUGAUAUGAAAUUUGAAAGUAAUUUGUUAACUGCUCAUCUUAAGCUAUAUCAGAAAUCUCUGUAGGCCCUACGCUAUGGCCUGUUGUUGAAUUUUGGUAGAAGUAUAACAGCCUGAAGAAGCUAUGGAUGUG